GGGACUGCAAUGGCUUCGACGGGGAUAGUGAAGUGUGAAAUGCGGGUAGUGAAUGGGAAUCCACUUAAAAAGUCCCGAAUUUAAAAAUAAACGCUAACAACGAAUUAGCAUACGCAGCCUAAGCGCUGCCGUCUUAUCUGAGAGGACCACGGCUCAGAAUAAGGCGAAUAUCAGUGGUGAACGUGACUCCGGAACGCUUCGGCCGGUUUCAUGAAUAAGAAGCUACCAAGCCGUUGAUCAUGGUCUGUGUGAGCCUCGGUAAGGGAAUUUAAAUCACAGCCUACACCCGUAGAUUUUUGCAUGGAUUUAUUUUCGGACAGGAGUUCGAUUCUCCUCAGCUCCACCA
rnacentral:tmRNA from 1 species